rnacentral:rRNA from 1 species
GAUGAACGCUGGCGGCGUGCUUAACACAUGCAAGUCGAACGGUGAACACGGAGUUUGCUCUGUGGGAUCAGUGGCGAACGGGUGAGUAACACGUGAGCAACCUGCCCCUGACUCUGGGACAUGCGCUGGAAACGGCGUCUAAUACUGGCUAUGUGACGUGAUCGCAUGGUCUGCGUCUGGCAAGAAGCUCGGUUGGGGAUGGGCUCGCGGCCUACGAGCUUGUUGGUGAGGUAAUGGCCCACCAAGGCGUCGACGGAUGGCCGGCCUGAGAGGGUGACCAGCCACACUAGGACUGAGAGACGGCCCAGACUCGAACGGGAGGCAGCGGUGGGAAAUAUUGCACAAUGGGCGCAAGCCUGAUGCAGCGGCGCCGCGUGAGGGAUGACGGCCUUCGGGUUGUAAACCUCUUUUAGCAGGGAAGAAGCGAAAGUGACGGUACCUGCAGAAAAAGCGCCGGCUAACUACGUG